UUUGUUGUUGUUAUGCUCAUUGCAAUAUGACCAAGAUAUACACUCCCAUAUAUGUGUUGAUCUUGGUCUGUUUCCUCUUAUUUGCAUGUAACACAUGUUCCGGUUUUUUCAGCUAUGUUGCGUCACAUUUGUAUUUUCAGUGACUUCUUGAUGUCAAUAUCAGUCUCAGUUGUGUAGUUACCAUGUCAUUUUUUUUCAUGCCUGUAAUUUGCAAACGGUUAACAUAGGUAGUAGCUGGACGUUGCUAUAACAGAUACCUACAUUUGUUGUUCUAAAAGAUUUUGUAAUCUAUAUAUUGUUUAUUGUCAUUAUUUGCUUCCAUAGAUCCAUCAGAUAUUUGGAUAACUGCUAUAUUGAUCACCUUUAGUCCUUCUACAGGUUAUUCUGAGUACUGAUGUUAGAAUUCUAUUUCUAUGUUCUGGGAAGCUGAUUAUCCUUGCAAACAACUGCUCUCCGCUUAGGAAGUCAAAAUCGAGUACUUUGCUAUGUUAAAGAUUAGCUUGCACCAUUUCCAGGUAAAUGCACCAGGCUGAAGAAGCUCCAACACGUGAAGCACCACCCAGGAGGAAAACAGUAGCUAGUUAGUGUAGAGAGCACGUUAUAUUUUUGAUAUCUGGGAUAUUAUCUGUACAUACGUGAUUUGAUCUGUGGAGAUGUUGUAAUAGACUAUGGAUGUUAUCAAAAGAAUUUCAUAA